UACGUAGGGUGCGAGUGUUAAUCGGAAUUACUGGGCGUAAAGCGUGCGCAGGCGGUUCUCCAAGUCCGUUGUGAAAGCCCCGGGCUCAACCUGGGAAUGGCAGUGGAAACUAGGGGACUGGAAUCUGGCAGAGGGGGGUGGAAUGCCGCGUGUAGCAGUGAAAUGCGUAGAGAUGCGGCGGAACACCGAUGGCGAAGGCAGCCCCCUGGGCUGAGAUUGACGCUCAGGCACGAAAGCGUGGGGAGCAAACAGG
rnacentral:rRNA from 1 species